rnacentral:lncRNA from 1 species
UUGAAAAUCAUGUGUUAUUCUGGAAAAAUUUUUGGUCACUGCCUCAAGACAAUCGAUUGUUCCCUUACACAAUCGAUUGUCUUUGACGUUUAAAAUUCUGCCAGUUUUUUGGAACACCAGAAUAAUCGAUUGUUAAAACCAGACAAUCGAUUCUUCUGGUCCAGUGAGUUGAAACGUUUUUAAAUUAUACCAUACAAUCGAUU